rnacentral:tRNA from 1 species
AGCAUUGUGGCCUAGUGGUAAAAGUACGGGCCUGGAAAUCAGAGGAUCUGGGUUUGAAUCCCAGCUCUGCCA